CUGGAAUUGGCUCCAAACCUCAGGAAUUUUUACCUAAAACAUGUGGACUCAAUAUUCAGUACAGGAAUAGAGAGUCUUUGAGGGCGAGCAAAAAAAGGAGAUAGCUGGAGACAGGAUCUUUAUGUCUCACCAGUGCCCUGACAAGCACGACAAGCUGUAGAUCACACUGAGAAUCCACCUCCCACCUCUCACUAACCUGUGC